rnacentral:tRNA from 2 species
GCGGGCUUGGCCGAGCGGUCAGGCAGCGGUCUUCCAAACCGCACAGGCGGGUUCGACUCCCGCAGCCCGCUCCA